ACGUAGGUGGCGAGCGUUGUCCGGAAUUAUUGGGCGUAAAGGGAGCGCAGGCGGGAGGUCAAGUCUAUCUUAAAAGUGCGGGGCUCAACCCCGUGAGGGGAUGGAAACUGGUCUUCUUGAGUGCAGGAGAGGAAAGCGGAAUUCCUAGUGUAGCGGUGAAAUGCGUAGAUAUUAGGAGGAACACCAGUGGCGAAGGCGGCUUUCUGGACUGUAACUGACGCUGAGGCUCGAAAGCGUGGGGAGCGAACAG
rnacentral:rRNA from 1 species